AAGUCGUAACAAGGUUUCCGUAGGUGAACCUGCGGAAGGAUCAUUCACAAUAAGUGUUUAAUGGCACUUUCAAAUCCAUUACCCACCUUGUGUGCACUGUAGAUGAGGGAAGAGGACUUGGUUUCUCUCUCCCUUGUCAUACUUACAUACCUAUUUUUUUUUCUUGAUUGUCUACAAUUUGAGUAAUAAAAAAACUCGAAUACAACUUUCAACAACGGAACUCUUGGCUCUC
rnacentral:misc_RNA from 1 species